ACGAAGUCAGCGCACUCGCCAUGCCGUCUCUCCCGUUGCUCGAAGUCGGCAAAAGCAUUGAGCGCCUUUGGAU
rnacentral:sRNA from 1 species